rfam:Rhodnius prolixus Rhodnius_prolixus-3.0.3-113.45, whole genome shotgun sequence.
AUCGCUUCUCGGCCUUUUGGCUAAGAUCAAAGUGUAGUAUCUGUUCUUAUCAGCUUAAUCUCUGGUACGGUCUCCAUAGGGGACCCAGAAGAUUAAACUGAUUUUUGGAAAAUGACGGAGUGCUAGGGGCUUGCUCCACCUCUGUCGCGGGUUGACCCGGUAUUGCAGUACCUCCGGGAACGGCCCACCCUAA